GCGAUAAAAUCAUCGAUUUUGCGUAAAUGUUUUUGUUUAUGAAUGAAUAAAUUUAUUUUAAUAUAUACGCAACAUUUAAUUAAUUUGAUUUACUAAAUUGAACGUUGAAAAUUUUCUAAUUUUUUUAAGUUCAGUGCACCUGGCAUCCCUGGUCGUUUUUGACCGUUGUUUGUUGCUUGCCGAAAAUUUGCAAAGUUCGCCGCGUCUUUUUACGUUCUCCGGGGUAAAAGAUGUUUUUCUUCGAGUGUAUUCGCCGGAUUCUGUUACGGAACCCCAGUGGUAUGGCUAGAGACGCCGUUCCGGAUCGAGCGGGGCUGAUUCAUUUGCUGCUACCGCACCGGGUGUUGAAAUUUCUACCCCAUUGGAUUCCUUGGAUCUGGACAUUGUGUUUUUCAGCGCCUGAAGUUCACCUAUAAAAAUGUGCAGCAUAGCGGUUUUCGUACAGCAGAAAGUGAGCGGAAAUUAAUAUCAUAAUCUCAUCCAGUUAAUAUUGCGAAUAGGUGCAGGAUGUCCGGUAGGAAGUACGACAGCCAUUGGUGUUAACAGAACCCCGGUAUAAUUAGGUGGUUUUCUGGUUACGAUAAAACGUCCGUCAGCUCGAUCGCUCGCCUGGGAUUUCUGCAGAGCAGAGAUAGCGGUCUGAAUUAAAAAAAAACGAUUAUGUGAAAAAUCAAUUAAUAGAAAAGCAAUAAAAUGAAAUUUUCGAUGACAUAAAGACGUGAA